AAAUUCAAGCAAUAAUUAGGGCCGAAUUCUAUGUUUUGGACCCUUUCUUCAACAAGCAACACUUUAAAACUCUUUUUCGCAUAUUUUUCAACUCUUUUUUUUUUUUUUUCAUUCUAUUUUUCACGAAUCUUUCUUUUCUACUCGUGCCUUAUGAAUGAUUUUGGCAUACACACACACAAGAAUCACUUCCCCCACACUUGUUUUCUGCCAUACAUUAAUCAAAAGGAAUUCAAUUUGACUCAUACUUUACUAUGCUUCAAGAACAUGGGUAUGGAUGGUCCUAA
rnacentral:lncRNA from 1 species